AUCCCAAGUGCGUAGGCAUAGAGCCUACGCUUUUGUCCACCCUAGGGUGGUGGACGAAUAAGGGCUGGGCAAGACCGGUGCCAGCCGCCGCGGUAAUACCGGCAGCCCGAGUGAUGGCCGAUCUUAUUGGGCCUAAAGCGUCCGUAGCUGGCCGCACAAGUCCAUCGGGAAAUCCACCUGCUCAACAGGUGGGCGUCCGGUGGAAACUGUGUGGCUUGGGACCGGAAGGCGCGACGGGUACGUCCGGGGUAGGAGUGAAAUCCCGUAAUCCUGGACGGACCGCCGAUGGCGAAAGCACGUCGCGAAAACGGAUCCGACAGUGAGGGACGAAAGCUAGGGUCUCGAACCGGAUUAGAUACCCGGGUAGUCCUAGCCGUAAACACUGCCUGCUAGGUGUGGCACCCACUACGAGUGGGUGCUGUGCCGUAGGGAAGCCGCUAAGCAGUCCG
rnacentral:rRNA from 1 species